UGCAGUCGACGGCAGCACGGGUGCUUGCACCUGGUGGCGAGUGGCGAACGGGUGAGUAAUACAUCGGAACGUACCUUGUAGUGGGGGAUAGCUCGGCGAAAGCCGGAUUAAUACCGCAUACGCUCUGAGGAGGAAAGCGGGGGACCUUCGGGCCUCGCGCUACAAGAGCGGCCGAUGUCAGAUUAGCUAGUUGGUGGGGUAAAAGCUCACCAAGGCGACGAUCUGUAGCUGGUCUGAGAGGACGACCAGCCACACUGGGACUGAGACACGGCCCAGACUCCUACGGGAGGCAGCAGUGGGGAAUUUUGGACAAUGGGCGAAAGCCUGAUCCAGCAAUGCCGCGUGUGUGAAGAAGGCCUUCGGGUUGUAAAGCACUUUUGUCCGGAAAGAAAUCCUCUGGGUUAAUACCUCGGGGGGAUGACGGUACCGGAAGAAUAAGCACCGGCUAACUACGUGCCAGCAGCCGCGGUAAUACGUAGGGUGCAAGCGUUAAUCGGAAUUACUGGGCGUAAAGCGUGCGCAGGCGGUUUUGUAAGACGGAUGUGAAAUCCCCGGGCUUAACCUGGGAACUGCAUUCGUGACUGCAAGGCUAGAGUAUGGCAGAGGGGGGUAGAAUUCCACGUGUAGCGGU
rnacentral:rRNA from 1 species